CGCGACGUCAUUCUCCUGUGGAUAAUCAUCGUGAGAGGACGUGUAUCGCACCGGCUUCGGUGAUUCGAAUAAUUUUAUUCAUAUUUUGUUACUAAAUUUUAUAAAUUAAUCAGUUUUGUUUAUUUAAUAAUCCAUUUAUAUUAUUGUAAUAGUGAAAUUAAUUAGUGUUUUGAGUUUUUCGUGUUCUUUGUUUGUCGUUUGUGUAUUUGAUUGUGAGGUUAUCGAUACUACGUAGUAGCUUUAUUGAAUCUAGAUUGUCGGAAUAACAUCGAAAGAAAAAUGAUUUACAGCAUGCACAUGCCACGACACAUGCAUUCGUAGCUGAUGACGUAGUUUUUCUUCAAGAAGCGCCACCAUGAUAAACUGCGCCACCUAGAAGCAGCAGGAACAUAGGGAGACGUUUAUCCCGCUAAUCAGAUCGCGAAGGACAAAGCCCGUGAUACAUUGCGCCGCAGAUUGCCGUGGAAUAUUAUUAAAUGGGCCGCGUUCCCGAACACGAAGGUCUUCCCUCGAGCUCUUUAGCCGUAGGAUUAAGUAAAAUGGUGGACGGUUCCUAUUCCGUGCGCAACAGGACCCUUGGAAGUGGAAAAAACUAACCGCUCCUCUCGAUGCGAAUAACGGCCCACGUUAUUUCCACCCUUUAACAUUGCAUUAACUACAUCCUCCACCUACGAGCUACACGAGUGCAUAAAUAAACCAUGGAGCGUCAUACCAGCAACCAGGAGAAGUGAAAGCUACGAGAAGUGAAAAAUACAUCAAGGAUUGUGUGUAUAACGUGUAAGACAACGAAUGUAUAUUAUUUUCAAACGAAAGAAAAUGUUUUGUAUUGUAUAUAAGAUUAAGAAUAUUUGUGUUAUUUUUGUUAUUUUUAUUGUAAAGAAUAUAUAUGAAAAAUAAAU